rnacentral:tRNA from 1 species
CGGGGCGUAGCGCAGACCGGUUAGCGCGCCUGCCUUGGGAGCAGGAGGUCGCUGGUUCAAAUCCAGUCGCCCCGACAA